AUGUGUCAAGCUGCAACAGUAUAUAUUCAUUGGACACUGACAAGUCACAGUAUGUUGUAAGCCACUAAACCAUUUCAUAUUUUUCUAUGGCAGAGUUCAGUUACAACAAUACAACAAUGGAAAUAUGUGUCAAUGUUCACCUCAUGGAACAUGCUAUCACUGAAGGAGACAGUAACCCCUUAAACUGCAGUUCUUGCUCCAUCUAAUUUAUUUGCACUGAAAUAAUUUGCACAAUAUACAGAUCAUGUGGGAGAGACACCGGAAUUAUUGUCACAAUGUUCAGAUCACAUAAAAGGUAGCAGAGGCAUGCUGUAAACAGAGGAACUGCAGGUAUUGGGCUUGUGUUAUUAUCUUUCAUGUUUUGUUUUUGUUUCAUGUCACAACUCGCUUGAUUUUUAACUGAUAAUUACCAAGCCAAUUUCUGUGGAGCAUCGGUUGGUGAAACUGAAAUACAUUUAUUUUUAAAAAAAUACUCACCAAAUUUUCUUUAAAUAAAUGCUGUAAAAUCGGAAGCCUAGUUAUAAUCCAGUGAGUGAGUACGAACUUUAUUGAGGUCCUGAGGAGAAAGAAUUAAUAAUCCAAUACUUUAAAUGCUUAGUGGUUCUGAAGCACGCUUGCUGUAGAUGCAGCUACAUGAUUUUUUGUGUGUUGAUUUAGUGUUGCAGAAUGUAUGUGCAUGCAUUUCAGCUAAUUCUUGCUUUGAUUGUUUUUAAAUUUAUUAGUUUGUGUAAUGAAUGUCUUUAAUGCAUUUGGCUUUGCCCCUUGGUGCAUGGUAAAAUAUUUUUAUGCUCCCUACUGCUUUUUUAUUUUUAUUUGUGCUUGUGAAUUUUUGGCUUAUGUGCAGUCGUACUUUUCCUGACUGGCAGUGCUUGUUAUGGUUUCAUCCUGAAUGGUGUUUGCUUUUUAAUUGGCAUAUUUUUAUUAUUUUUGAAGGCAAAAUAAGCAACCAGUCUGUUUAUUUAGGCAGUCAGAGAGCAAGUUCCUCUUGUUUGCCUCCUAUUGUUGAGUGUGUUUUCAUGUUUUCUGCAAAUCUAUGUAGCUGAAAAAAAUCAAUAGAUGCUUGUUCUGAGUGGGGUUUGCCACACACUUCAUCAUCAUCAGCCAGUAAUUUUCUUUUGAAUGGAUGUUCCUAGGGUAUGAAUUUUAACAUGCAAAGUGUGUCAGCAGGAAUGUUUGUGCAGUUAUCGUGAGCAUGAAUGUCUGAAGCUUUGUGAUGGUGUGAAUUCCUGUGUCUAGUAACAUUAAGUAGCCUAUGGUGAAUGCGCCAAUUUUCAGGAUGGGAAGAUACUUGCCAUUUUCAGUUGCUGUGGUAAAAGAAUCACGAGUACCUUAUUGAUUGCAGUGUUUAAGAUUGCAGUUAAUUUCCCAUCAAAUCUCAGUGCAAGAUGAAGCCUAAAAUAGAAGUCACUGCUUUCCAGUGCAUAUUUCCUGGGCACAAACAGUAUAACAGAAGUGUUAUAAAGGAUGGAACCUAAGCCCCUGUUCUCAUUUCAAAGUAAUCUAUAACGGCCAAUAAACUUUGACGCAGUCUAAUGACUACCCGCUUUCAGGAAUAACUGCUUUUAUAACAAAGUUUCAUGUAGCAGCAUUGGUAUUAGCUUAGAUUUAGAGAGGCAAGAAAACUCCCAGG
rnacentral:lncRNA from 1 species